GGCGGCAUAGCUCAGAUGGUUAGAGCGCAGGACUCAUAAGCCUGAGGUCGGUGGUUCAAUUCCACCUGCCGCUACCA
rnacentral:tRNA from 1 species